rnacentral:rRNA from 1 species
UACGGAGGGUGCAAGCGUUGUUCGGAAUUAUUGGGCGUAAAGAGCAUGUAGGCGGUCUGUUAAGUCUGGUGUGAAAGCCCGGGGCUCAACCCCGGAAGUGCAUUGGAUACUGGCAGACUUGAGUAUGGGAGAGGAAGGCGGAAUUCCGAGUGUAGGAGUGAAAUCCGUAGAUAUUCGGAGGAACACCAGUGGCGAAGGCGGCCUUCUGGACCAAUACUGACGCUGAGAUGCGAAAGCGUGGGGAGCGAACAGG